rnacentral:rRNA from 1 species
GUCGAGAAUCUUUCACAAUGGGGGAAACCCUGAUGGAGCGACGCCGCGUGGGGGAUGAAUGGCUUCGGUCCGUAAACCCCUGUCAUCUGUGAACAAUUCUUUUGGUUAAAUAGACCAAAAGUUGAUAGUAGCGGAAGAGGAAGGGACGGCUAACUCUGUGCCAGCAGCCGCGGUAAUACAGAGGUCCCAAGCGUUGUUCGGAUUCACUGGGCGUAAAGGGUGCGUAGGUGGCCAGGAAAGUUUGGUGUGAAAUCUCCGAGCUCAACUCGGAAACUGCACUGAAAACUGCCCGGCUAGAGGGUUGGAGGGGGGACUGGAAUUCUCGGUGUAGCGGUGAAAUGCGUAGAUAUCGAGAGGAACACCAGUGGCGAAGGCGAGUCCCUGGACAAUACCUGACACUGAGGCACGAAAGCUAGGGUAGCAAACAGGAUUAGAAACCCGGGUAGUCC